UACGUAGGGUGCGAGCGUUGUCCGGAAUCAUUGGGCGUAAAGCGCGUGUAGGCGGUUCGGUAAGUCCGCUGUGAAAGUCGGGGGCUCAACCCUCGAAUGCCGGUGGAUACUGUCGGGCUAGAGUGCGGAAGAGGCGAGUGGAAUUCCUGGUGUAGCGGUGAAAUGCGCAGAUAUCAGGAAGAACACCCGUGGCGAAGGCGGCUCUCUGGGACGGUACUGACGCUGAGACGCGAAAGCGUGGGGAGCGAACAGG
rnacentral:rRNA from 1 species